CCCGGUACACCCAUCCCGCCGGGCAUCCCGCCGGGCAUCCCAUCCCGGUACACCCAUCCCGCCGGCCUGCCGCGGUGCGGAUGCGUGUGGAUGAAUCCUCGUGAAUACAGCUCCCGACGUUUCCCCCCACUCAAAAAAACCUAACCAAAACAAACCACCCACUUGGAUAAUUAAAACGGUUAUUGGCAGUACCUGGUGUUGCUAAGGCUGAUUUAAUUCCUAUUCCCAGAGGCAGCUUUUCCAAGGUGAUUCCUGACUUUUUUUUGCUUUCUUGCAGGUUUUUGGCAGUACCUGGUGUUGUUAAGGCUGAUUUAAUUCCUAUUACCAGAGGCAGCUUUUCCAAGGUGAUUCCUGACACAGGAGAUGGUGAGUUGCUUUUCACCCUCACACACAGAGACUUUAUACAUGUGGUUGUGAUGUACCUGCUUUAGUGAUCAAAUCAACUUGGUUGGAUCUUCCAUAGGGAUUCUGCAAAGCAGGUUGAAUACAGGGUUUUGCUGACCUCUGCCAGAAUGACCUUUCCUUAAAGUAGUAGAGGAGAGAAAAGUCUGCACUGCAAAAAGCCUCACGUGGGAGCAGGGAAAUGCAGCCAAGGGAGGGUUGACCUGUGGGGUUAUUGAAGGCUUAAUGGGGCAAUCUGAGCACACUUAGUGCAGUGGAAAGCUGCAGACCAGCCAGGAAAAGAUGUCAAAGAGGACAAUCAGUUGAGAAAAGGAGAGCAGUGGCUGACAGAAGGAUGUCUGAAUAAAUGAAGGAUGUCCAGCCCAGUGUGAGAAAUUCAGGCACUGCAGGAGCAGCUUAAUCUGCAGUCCUAGAUCUGAGCGACCUUCUCCACAGCCUUGGACAUUUAAACACUCAACAUCUACUUUAACUGAGGGGAAAAAAACAAUGGUGCCAAUAUAAUGCUUCAUUGCACAGAUAUAUUUUAAAGACUUAACCUUUGCAAGACAUUUUGAAGAUGGAAAGCCCAGCAGCACAAUGAUAUUUUUGUGAGAAGACUUUUCUCAGUUUUUGCAUUAGCCACUGUAUGCUUGGUUUUAUUUCUGGUUUUGCCUUGUGCAGUUUUACCAAGUGACUUUUUCCAUAGCCUACAUGUAGAUUUUUAAUAGCAAAGAUGAAAUCUCAAAAUCCUUGUUUUGAGUAGUCAUUCAAAUUCAACAGCUUAACAUUGAUAACAUUUCAGAAAAGACAAUUGGUUUGAAUACAAAAAUGUUUAAAAAU
rnacentral:lncRNA from 1 species